rnacentral:tRNA from 3 species
CCCGCGGUAGCUCAGCCUGGUAGAGCUUCCGGCUGUAGACCGGAGUGUCGCAGGUUCAAAUCCUGCCCGCGGGA